GCUUCUGUGGCGAAACGGUAGACGCACUCGAUCGAGGGUCGAGCUUUUGUGGGUUCGACUCCCACCAGAAGUA
rnacentral:tRNA from 1 species